rnacentral:rRNA from 1 species
UACGGGGGGGGCAAGCGUUGUUCGGAAUUACUGGGCGUAAAGGGCUCGUAGGCGGCCAACUAAGUCAGGCGUGAAAUCCCUCAGCUUAACUGGGGAACUGCGUCUGAUACUGGAUGGCUUGGAUCCGGAAGAGGGAUGCGGAAUUCCAGGUGUAGCGGUGAAAUGCGUAGAUAUCUGGAGGAACACCGGUGGCGAAGGCGGCAUCCUGGGCCGGUAUUGACGCUGAGGAGCGAAAGCCAGGGGAGCAAACGGG